rnacentral:misc_RNA from 1 species
GUGAAUCAUCAAAUCUUUGAACGCAAAUUGCACUCUCUUCGGAGAGAAUGCCUGUUUGAGGGUCAGCCUAAAAAAAAUCGACAUAGUCGCUGUUUCGCGGUGACAUUCGUCGGAAAUUGGGUCAUCUUAAACCUUUUGGUUUUAGGCGGCUAAAAUUUUUAUUUCGGAUCCCAGGACAGUUCUUAAGUUGUACUAAUAGGUUUAAGG